rnacentral:misc_RNA from 1 species
ACCUACAUCUGUGCAUUUGUUGUCACUGGCUUGUUAUUGUUGCUCAAAUUUAAAAAGUGUAAAUAUCCUGAGGAAAAUUAAAAACAUUUACAUUAAGAGCUCGAAAAAUGAGUAGUGUGGCUAAAUCGCCAGAUGUGCGAACUCCGGGGUGCUGCUCGCCCUUGCGCACCAAGGAAUUGCUGGAGAGGCAGAGGUCCAGUAGGUGCACCCCCGCAAAAGGAUAUCUAACCCCACGCAACUGCCAGAGCCCCAAACACCCAGAGAUGCGGAUACCUUCCAUAUUCGUUACCGAUGCCGACUUCGGCUUGGAGCGUCCGAAACAAUUGCUGCAGCGCCUGGAGCGAUCACUAUAUCGAUCUUCCUCUGCCUCCAAAGUACCACCAAAACAUGCAUUGUUGGCUUCCCAGAGCAGGCAGCGGACCUGGGAAGGACCCAAAACACCAGAGUUCCGUAGCCGUACCAACAAAUCUAUACCCUCGUCGGAACCUCGUCCAAAACGUGCUAAGGAACUUCUGGAGGAUCUUAGGUCCAAGCUUCAAGGAACUCCUGUCACGAAAAUGCCGUCCCAAAGGAAUCCAAAGGAAAACCCAGAACUUUCAAAGAGCCAUACAUGUAUACCAUCCUCGGAGCCACAGCCUAUCCGCCCAAAAUUGAUCCUCGAACGGGAGCGCCAGGAGUCUAUAACCAAUCGCUUGGCAUCAACUUCUAUUGACCGCCUAAAAACAAAGCCACCAAGGACUAGCUUUACAUCGAGCAGGCUUCUAGUGCCACAGAUGGGAUUUUCGUACCCCAAGGAUCCCAAAAGGCUUCACGAAUCCAACAAAGCAAUCAAGCUGACCACCUCAAAGCGAAAGUUGGACUUCAAAACUGAGCUGGGGACUGACUUGCUGCGGCGGGAGCUGGAAAAGAUUGGCAAAGAAUGGCGGAAAAAGACUGACUACCAGUUACGUCAGCUUAUCUCGGAUUUUGUGAAACAACUAGUGCGCCUCCUACCCUUUAAUGGGAUAACAUUUUCGCAUCUUAGCAGGGAUUGCUAUGUGCAGCAGAUGGUGGAGGCACUGCAGCAGCUGCAGUACACCAAAAAGGUGAACAAAAGCUGGCUUCAAACGCCGAACAGCACACAAGCCAUCGCCCAUGUGCUGGAAUUACUCAAUUUCUUGCUGGAUGUCCUCGAACAUCGAAAGGGAGAAGGCAUGUGUGUGCUCCCCGUUGUUUCUGAAAAGCAGAGAAUUGAACAACUUGCAUCGGCAUCUGGUACAUCUUAUGAUGUAAUGAGCCUGCAACAGAAGUUUGAAAACAUAAAAAUAGAGAAAGCAAGUUUAAACAAUUACCGAGAAUCUCUUAAGUCGGAAUCCCCCGUAUCCAAGGACAUGGAUAAAGUUACGGAGCGCGAUGGGAAUCAGGACUUUGCCAGACUCCAGGAUUUUCAGAAAGAGACCCUCCAUGAACUCCAACUGCAACGCCUGCGUCUCCAGGAGUUCUCCGAGCUCGUGAGCCUCGCCAAGAUAAAAUUAAAACGCUGUUAUAAGGGUAACAAGCAAAGCAUCGAAGCCUUUAAUGAGCAAAUACAAGACUUGGCCGACUCUGUGGUUUUAAGAAACAGAAAUAUCGGCCUUCUAACCCAGUUACAUUUGAACGAAAAUCCAAAGGAGGAGGAGUUGCACGAACGUAUGGAGCAACUGCAGCGGCUGUAUAAGGAUAAUUAUUCAAAUCUUCUACAGCUAAACAUUAAGCCGCCCCAGGGAAGCCCUUAGGCGAACAUAAGCCACAUCCCUCAUUGAAUGCCAGUUAAUUUAAGCAAAUAUUUGCGUGUUGCAUUUAUUUAAUUGAAUUUAUCAACUGAAAGUCUCGGCAACAUCCUGGCCUGGAUUUAAGUUCGUGUAAUUGACAUUUAAAUGAGUCAUCGGCAGCUUGGCUACACUAAGUCAAAGGAAAUAGCUGCAAAGUUAAGCAGCUUAGCUUUGAUUUGCCAAAAUAUUUAAAAGUGCACUACCAUUUCAUUGGUAUAUUUUGAGUUUUCCUUUCGUUAUUUAAAGUUGCCAUUAUUGUCAUACCAUGUAUAGAUUCCAUAUCAAGUGGAAUAAAUAAAUUUCGUAGCCAAAUGGA